rnacentral:rRNA from 1 species
AGCGAACGCUGGCGGCAUGCCUAACACAUGCAAGUCGCACGGGGGGGCUUCGGCCUCCCAGUGGCGGACGGGUGAGGAACGCGUAGGGACCUGUCGAGGGGUGGGGGAUAACCGCGGGAAACUGCGGCUAAUACCGCAUGACGCCGCGGCGUGACAGCCGGGUCCAAAGGCGAAAGCCGCCCGCCGAGGGGCCUGCGUCCGAUUAGCUGGUUGGCGGGGUAGCGGCCCACCAAGGCGUCGAUCGGUAGCUGGUCUGAGAGGGUGAUCAGCCACACCGGGACUGAGACACGGCCCGGACUCCUACGGGAGGCAGCAGUGGGGAAUAUUGGACAAUGGGCGCAAGCCUGAUCCAGCAAUGCCGCGUGGGUGAAGAAGGUCUUCGGAUUGUAAAGCCCUUUCGGCGGGGACGAUGGUGACGGUACCCGCAGAAGAAGCCCCGGCUAACUUCGUG